CCUACGGGAGGCAGCAGUGGGGAAUAUUGCGCAAUGGGGGCAACCCUGACGCAGCAACGCCGCGUGAUUGAAGAAGGCCUUCGGGUUGUAAAGAUCUUUAAUCGGGGACGAAUUUUGACGGUACCCGAAGAAUAAGCUCCGUCUAAAUACGUGCCAGCAGCCGCGGUAAUACGUAGGGAGCAAGCGUUAUCCGGAUUUACUGGGGGUAAAGGGGGUGUAGGCGGGAAUGCAAGCUAGAAGUGAAAUCAGGGGGCUUAACGCCCAAACUGCGUUUGCAACUGCGUGUCUUGAGUGAUGGAGAGGUAGGCGGAAUGCACAGUGUAGCGGUGAAAUGCGGAGAUAUUGGGAGGAACACCAGUGGCGAAGGCGGCAUGCUGGACAUUAACUGACGCUGAGGCGCGAAAGCGUGGGGAGCAAACAGGAGUAGAUACCCGAGUAGUC
rnacentral:rRNA from 1 species